rnacentral:tRNA from 1 species
GGGGACGUAGCUCAACCCGGGAGAGCACUAGACUGAAGCUCUAGGUGUCGGGGGUUCAAAUAUUAGCGCCUGAAGUGUUAAUACUUCGAACGCCAGUAAGAAAAUCCCUCCGUCCCCA